UUUGGACCAGGAUUAGAUACCCUGUUACUUAUAUGUAAAAGAUUUUGGAAUAGUAGUAAUUAUGAAAUUUAACGGAUUUGGCGGCAAGAUAGCCAUUUAGAGGAACCUGCCCUAUAAGCGAUGAACCACGAAUUACUCCGCUUUUUUUAGAAAUUCAGUUUGUAUACCGCUGUUGUCAGUUAGUUUCUUUAGAAAACUUUCAAAAAUGAAAAAUUCAAUGACUUCAAGUAAAGGUGCAGCUUAUAAAAAAGAGAGAGGUGGGUUACAUUUAAGAGAAUAAUAAUGGAUAAAGCUUUGAAAUAGGCUUUUGAAGGUGGAUUUAAUUGUAAAAUUUAAUUAGAUUUGAUUAGAGCUCUAUCUUGUGUACACACCGCCCGUCGCUCUCUUUUUUAAA
rnacentral:rRNA from 1 species